UAGGGAAUCUUCGGCAAUGGACGAAAGUCUGACCGAGCAACGCCGCGUGAGUGAAGAAGGUUUUCGGAUCGUAAAACUCUGUUGUUAGAGAAGAACAAGGACGUUAGUAACUGAACGUCCCCUGACGGUAUCUAACCAGAAAGCCACGGCUAACUACGUGCCAGCAGCCGCGGUAAUACGUAGGUGGCAAGCGUUGUCCGGAUUUAUUGGGCGUAAAGCGAGCGCAGGCGGUUUCUUAAGUCUGAUGUGAAAGCCCCCGGCUCAACCGGGGAGGGUCAUUGGAAACUGGGAGACUUGAGUGCAGAAGAGGAGAGUGGAAUUCCAUGUGUAGCGGUGAAAUGCGUAGAUAUAUGGGGGAACACCAGUGGCGAAGGCGGCUCUCUGGUCUGUAACUGACGCUGGGGCUCGAAAGCGUGGGGAGCAAACAGG
rnacentral:rRNA from 1 species